CUUGGAACCGGGAGAGGUAAGAGGUACUACAGGGGUAGGAGUGAAAUCUUGUAAUCCCUGUGGGACCACCUGUGGCGAAGGCGUCUUACCAGAACGGGUUCGACGGUGAGGGACGAAAGCUGGGGGCACGAACCGGAUUAGAUACCCGGGUAGUCCCAGCCGUAAACGAUGCUCGCUAGGUGUCAGGCAUGGCGCGACCGUGUCUGGUGCCGCAGGGAAGCCGUGAAGCGAGCCACCUGGGAAGUACGGCCGCAAGGCUGAAACUUAAAGGAAUUGGCGGGGGAGCACAACAACGGGUGGAGCCCUGCGGUUUAAUUGGACUCAACGCCGGACAACUCACCGGGGGCGACAGCAAUAUGUAGGCCAAGCUGAAGACUUUGCCUGAAUCGCUGAGUAGUGGUGCAUGG
rnacentral:rRNA from 1 species